rnacentral:rRNA from 1 species
GACGAACGCUGGCGGCGUGCCUAAUACAUGCAAGUCGAACGCAGUGGGGACGGGUGAGUAACACGUGGGUAACCUCGCGUCAGAGGGGAUAAAACUUGGAAACAGGUGCUAAACCGAUACGGAUGGAGGGACCCGCGGUGCAUGAGCUAGUUGGUGCGGUAACGGCGCACCAAGGCCACGAGCCACAGCCGACUUAGUAGGAGUAGCGUCCAGACUGUGACUGAGACACGGUCCAGCCUCCUACGGGAGGCAGCAGUAGGGAAUCUGCGGCAAUGGACGAAAGUCUGACCGAGCAACGCAGCGUGAGUGAAGAAGGUUUGCGGAUCGUAAAACUCUGUUGUUAGAGAGGCGUUAUCUAACCAGAAAGCCACGGCUAACUACGUGCCAGCCGCCGCGGUAAUAC